GGAAGGGUCGCAUAGUGGCUAUUGCAACGGUCUUGAAAACCGCCGACUGUAACAGGUCCCAGAGUUCGAGUCUCUGUCCUUCCGCCA
rnacentral:tRNA from 1 species